rnacentral:rRNA from 1 species
UCCCUAAGCCGAGGCCGAAAGGCGUAGGCAAUGGAAAACAGGUCAACAUUCCUGUACCACCCGACAAUCGUUUGAGAGAAGGGGGGACGCAGAAGGGUAGAUCAGCCAUCUGUUGGAUGGUGGUUCAAGCUCGUAGGCGAAAAGGAUAGGCAAAUCCGUCCUUUUAUUUAAACGCUGAGAAGCGACGAGUAUCUAAUUUAUUAGAGAACUGAUUGAUCCCAUGCUGCCAAGAAAAACCUCAAA